rnacentral:lncRNA from 1 species
ACAUCAUUCCCAUACUGUCCAUGGACUGGCGAUUGAUGGACGCUGGUGUCAAGGACUGGGUGUGGGAGGAGAUUUGGGUAAGUGUAUCUUAUAUAUAUGCAUAUGAUAUAUUUACACUAUGUUUGAUUAGAAUAAUUUUGUAAUUAAUUUCUGAUAACUUUGUAUAGAGAAAGUACGACUUUUCAGAUCAUGAGAGAGCUCGAGAUAUUCGACUACAGAAGAUUAGGGAGUUAUACCAGAACUACAAGGUCAAACUCCACAAAGGAUGGCUAGAGCACCGUAGGGACAUAAAGGAGGAGCUUGUUUCUUAGAUCUCGGACUAUCUCCUAAGUAUGUGGAAGGGGAUGGUCAGGCAUUGGAGGAGCU